rnacentral:rRNA from 1 species
AACACCCGAAGUCGGUGAGGUAACCUUUUAGGAGCCAGCCGCCGAAGGUGGGACAGAUGAUUGGGGUGAAGUCGUAACAAGGUAGCCGUAUCGGAAGGUGCGGCUGGAUCACCUCCUUU